AUUUUUGGUGAGAAGGUGGGCCCAUCUGGCGGGGGGCUGACUUCUUCUAAAUUCUUGCUGGUUUGCAAGGAGAUUGUCAAUAUAUCUGCUCCUCAGUUCAACAUUUAAGUAAUACAAGUCUUUGCUGCCACUUGACGAGUGACCUGUGCCCCGUUGCUGCAACAUCCUAUUGAUGGUUUUUGACAAACCCUACAGUAUCGCGUUUGCAUAAAGCCUUUGAGUCUGACUGCUGGUGAAACAACCUCCCUUUCUAGAAAGCUCCAAAUCCUAGUGAAAUCCUGGGAGGAAGCAGCUAAAGCCUCUCGCCCCGCUUCUGGAGAUGACCCAUCAGAGCACUUGGUUUCAGAAUGGAGGGCAACUGGAAUCCAACGGAAGUGGCUGGCCAAUAUAACGAAGCUGGUUGAGAAGGAACUGCCCUGUUACCUCAAACCUCUGAGCCUGACAGUGAAAAGAUAUCCUUAUCCUCUCUUGAAAACUAGGGCCUGGAUAUUUUACCAGUCAACUAAUAAAUGGAUUGAUGUUUAAGGAGGCGAAGCUCACAGGAAUAUUUACAACCUGUUUCCACAGUAUAAACUCUCUGCACAUUCCUUUGGCACCAACCACGAGCACACUCUAUGAAUAAAAACGAUAGUCGAUGUGA